rnacentral:rRNA from 1 species
UAAGGAAUAUUGCACAAUGGGCGAAAGCCUGAUGGAGCAACGCCGCGUGAGUGAUGAAGGCCUUCGGGUUGUAAAGCUCUGUCUUCUGGGACGAUAAUGACGGUACCAGAGGAGGAAGCCACGGCUAACUACGUGCCAGCAGCCGCGGUAAUACGUAGGUGGCAAGCGUUGUCCGGAUUUACUGGGCGUAAAGGAUGCGUAGGCGGAUACUUAAGUCAGAUGUGAAAAUCCCGGGCUUAACUUGGGAACUGCAUUUGAAACUGGGUAUCUAGAGUGCGGGAGAGGAAAGUGGAAUUCCUAGUGUAGCGGUGAAAUGCGUAGAGAUUAGGAAGAACACCAGUGGCGAAGGCGACUUUCUGGACCGUAACUGACGCUGAGGCAUGAAAGCGUGGGGAGCAAACA